GCUAACUUCGUGCCAGCAGCCGCGGUAAUACGAAGGGUGCAAGCGUUACUCGGAAUUACUGGGCGUAAAGCGUGCGUAGGUGGUCGUUUAAGUCCGUUGUGAAAGCCCUGGGCUCAACCUGGGAACUGCAGUGGAUACUGGGCGACUAGAGUGUGGUAGAGGGUAGCGGAAUUCCUGGUGUAGCAGUGAAAUGCGUAGAGAUCAGGAGGAACAUCCAUGGCGAAGGCAGCUACCUGGACCAACACUGACACUGAGGCACGAAAGCGUGGGGAGCAAACAGGAUUAGAUACCCUUGUAGUC
rnacentral:rRNA from 1 species